rnacentral:rRNA from 1 species
UACGGGGGGAGCGAACGUUGUUCGGAAUUACUGGGCGUAAAGGGCGCGUAGGCGGCCUGUUAAGUCGAACGUGAAAUCCCCGGGCUCAACCCGGGAACUGCGUCCGAUACUGGCAGGCUUGAAUCCGGGAGAGGGAUGUGGAAUUCCAGGUGUAGCGGUGAAAUGCGUAGAUAUCUGGAGGAACACCGGUGGCGAAGGCGGCAUCCUGGACCGGCAUUGACGCUGAGGCGCGAAAGCUAGGGGAGCAAACGGG